rnacentral:rRNA from 1 species
UACGGGGGGAGCAAGCGUUGUUCGGAUUUACUGGGCGUAAAGGGCGCGUAGGCGGCCACCGCAAGUCGACUGUGAAAUCUCCGGGCUUAACCCGGAAAGGUCAGCCGAUACUGCGGGGCUAGAGUGCAGAAGGGGCAACUGGAAUUCUCGGUGUAGCGGUGAAAUGCGUAGAUAUCGAGAGGAAUACCUGCGGCGAAGGCGGGUUGCUGGGCUGACACUGACGCUGAGGCGCGAAAGCUAGGGGAGCGAACGGG